CUAACACAUUAUUUUAUCUACUUGAUUCUUCUAAAAUAGCAAGGGAAGCUGUUUACAGCUGCUUCAAAAGCCGAAGGUGCUGAGAUGAAAAAAUAUAAGACGGAGAUGCAGAAGUGGGAAAUGGCGAAAUAUACUCUAAAAUCCAUUGUAGGUGAAAUUGACAAAAAAGUGGUUGAAUUGGGAUCAAUUGGAGCUUAGGACAUUUGGUCACAAGGUUUGCAGAAAAAGGGGUUACAUAUUGCACAACGUCAAACCCCAUGGAAAGAACUAUUGUAUGGACUACGGUAGUUCCUAAAGAAACUUAUGUGAUUUCUGAAGAUGCCUUGGAGACAAAGCACAAGAGAACUAGGAAGCAAAUGAGGAAAAACAAUAUGGACAAAAGAAGAAAAAAGAAACGGAGAAAAAAAGAAUAUGUGCGGAAAAAAAAAGAAAGAGAAAAAAGCAAUA